GCUCAGAUUGAACGCUGGCGGCAGGCCUAACACAUGCAAGUCGAGCGGUAGCACAGGAGAGCUUGCUCUCUGGGUGACGAGCGGCGGACGGGUGAGUAAUGUCUGGGAAACUGCCUGAUGGAGGGGGAUAACUACUGGAAACGGUAGCUAAUACCGCAUGACCUCGCAAGAGCAAAGUGGGGGACCUUCGGGCCUCACGCCAUCGGAUGUGCCCAGAUGGGAUUAGCUAGUAGGUGGGGUAAUGGCUCACCUAGGCGACGAUCCCUAGCU
rnacentral:rRNA from 1 species